ACGAACAGAUUGUAAUUCAUAUGUUUAGUAGUGGUGUGUGGGUGUGUUUUUUUAAACAAUAAUUUGGAGAUAGCAUAAAACUAGUGGGCACUUAGCAAAUAUAAAAUUUCAAACAGGCAGGGCAAUAAUUACUUGUACUUUUGUGUAUAAAUGGAAUUAACUGAUUGAGCAAUUGAAAAAAUGAGAAGCAGAAAAACAGCACGAGGUGAAUUUACUGAAUCCAGUCCACUACUUCAGGACGCACAAGAUGAAGAAACUGAAAUAA